CAAUAGCGUAUAUUAAUGUUGUUGCAGUUAAAAAGCUCGUAGUUGGAUUUCUGGUGGGAGCGGCCGGUCCGCCGUAAGGUGUGUACUUGGUUGUCUCCUGUCUUCCUUGUGGGAACUGCUCUGGCAUUAAGUUGUCGGGGUUAGGGAACACAUCGUUUACUGUGAAAAAAUUAGAGUGUUUAAAGCAGGCUUAUGCCGUUGAAUACAUUAGCAUGGAAUAAUAAGAUAGGACUUUGGCGUCUAUUUUGUUGGUUUGCACACCAAGGUAAUGAUUAAUAGGGAUAGUUGGGGGUAUUCGUAUUUAAUUGUCAGAGGUGAAAUUCUUGGAUUUAUGAAAGACGAACUUCUGCGAAAGCAUUUACCAAAGAUGUUUUCAUUAA
rnacentral:rRNA from 1 species